GAGGAUGUAGCUCAAUGGUGGAGCACAUGCUUAGCAUGCACGAGGUCCUGGGUUCAGUCCCCAGUACCUCCU
rnacentral:tRNA from 1 species